GCAUGGCUGAAUUCUGUGUUACUUUUUGACGUAGUAAAUACAGUCAGACACCAUGCUAAAUGAAUACAUUCACACACUGACUCAGUAAGAUCAGAGGGGUUUAAUUUGCGCCUCUCUGUUAGUUCAGUGUGAAUACAGUA